GAAGCGGCAACAGCUCAAAUUUGAAAUCUGGCUCUCGGGCCCGAGUUGUAAUUUGUAGAGGAUACUUUUGAUGCGGUGCCUUCCGAGUUCCCUGGAACGGGACGCCAUAGAGGGUGAGAGCCCCGUCUGGUUGGAUGCCAAAUCUCUGUAAAGUUCCUUCAACGAGUCGAGUAGUUUGGGAAUGCUGCUCUAAAUGGGAGGUAUAUGUCUUCUAAAGCUAAAUACCGGCCAGAGACCGAUAGCGCACAAGUAGAGUGAUCGAAAGAUGAAAAGCACUUUGAAAAGAGAGUUAAAAAGUACGUGAAAUUGUUGAAAGGGAAGCGUUUAUGACCAGACUUGGGCUUGGUUAAUCAUCUGGGGUUCUCCCCAGUGCACUUUUCCAGUCCAGGCCAGCAUCAGUUUUCCCCGGGGGAUAAAGGCGGCGGGAAUGUGGCUCUCUUCGGGGAGUGUUAUAGCCCACCGUGUAAUACCCUGGGGGGGACUGAGGUUCGCGCAUCUGCAAGGAUGCUGGCGUAAUGGUCAUCAACGACCCGUCUUGAAACACGGACCAAGGAGUCGUCUUCGUAUGCGAGUGUUUGG
rnacentral:rRNA from 1 species